CAGGAGAGUCGUCGGAGUCGCUGGCAGAGCGCUAUUGUUGUUGUUGUUUUUGUUGCUGUUUUGUUUUUCUUGCUUUUCAACCAACCAUUUCUUGUACAGUUUGGCAUGUACACAUGAGCGCCAAACAUAAUUGACGCCAAUCAAUGGAUGCAACGAAAGGGCUCAUCAAACAAAAAAAGAGAGACAGCACUCAUGUGCACAUUUUUAUUUGAUUGAGACAUUGAUUGGCAUUGAUUUAUGUCUCGUUGAUACAUGAA